rnacentral:tRNA from 1 species
ACACUGAUGGUUCAGUGGUAGAAUUCUUGCCUUCCAUGCAGGGUACCGGGGUUCGACUCCCAGCCAAUGCG